CUCUGCCCUUGCCUGAGUCCCUGGUGAUCUGUUGGGAGGGAGCCCCAUGGCGUGCAUGCACACCCUCCUAAGCAGUAGCUGUUUCCAGCCGCUCCCUUCCACCUGGGGUGUAACGUCAGGCGAUGGUUAGAGGAAUAUGUGGGAAGCUUCUCCUUGCUGAUGGCAGUGCAGCUGUGGGAAGCCAUCUGGGAAUACUCUUUCUGAAGCUGUCUCCUUUCUCUUGCCCCACCUGGCCCAGGGAGGCUAGUGAUGGACUGGAUCGUCAUUUAUUUAUGCAAAAACUGUGGCUGGUGGGGGUGGGGGAGUGAGAGUGAAUUGGAACUGUUAUUUUCAGCUGUUAGAAAUGCAACAUGCAUGAUUAGAGGAAACUGUUGGAGGUCAGGAAGAAGGAGGUCUUCCCAGGUUCCAUAGCGGAGUAAUCGGACAGAUACCAGCUAUUGUGGGAGGAGAAACACCUGCUGAAUUUGUGCCCUGUUGGGGAAGCCUGCACUGUGUCUCCCAGGUCUCUGCAACUUCUGCAGCUCCUCAUGUGCCGGGGGUUGGGGUCAGGGCAGUUGGAACAGGUGGCAUCUGUGGCUCAGUAUUCUGAGGGCCUGCAGACUUGGAGUGGGUUUUGCCCUUGUCUGUUUGGAAUCAACAUGGGUUGAUUCCAAAGCCUUCUUAGCUUUGGUUAAGACCUGCCCACUCAAAAUUAGAUGGUAGAUUUUAUUUCUUAAGUAUCAGAGAGGCCAAGCACGGUGGCUCACACCUGUAAUCCCAGCCCUUUGGGAGACAGAGGCAGGCAAAUCACCUAAGGUCAGGAGUUUGAGACCAGCCUGGCCAACAUGGUUGGUUUAGUAGAAACCCCAUCUCUACUAAAAAUACAGAAAAGUUAGCUGGACGUGGUGGCACGCACCUGUAAUCCUGACUACUCAGGAGGCUGAGGCAGGAGAAUUGCUUGAACCCAGGAGGCAGAGGUUACAGUGAGCUGAGGUCGCAUCACUGUACUUCAGCCUGGAUGACAGAGCAAGACUGUCUCAAAAAAAAAAAAUAAAAAAGAAUCAGAGUUAGGCUAAACCUAUAAUCCCAGGUCUGUGGUAGGCCAAGGAGGAAGGAUUGUUUGAACCCAGGAGUCUGAGACAAGCCUGGACAACAUAAAAUUUAGCAACUUUAAAAAUUAGCUGAGCAUGGUGGCAAAUGCCUGUAGUCCCACCUACUCAAGAGGCUGAGGUGGGAGGAUCCCUUGACCCCAGGAGGUCGAGGCUACAGUGAGCUGUGAUUGGUCCACUGUACUCCAGCCUGGGUGACAAAGCUAGACCCUGUCUAAAAAAACAGUCAGAGUCAGCCAAUUCCCGGCGCUACUGCUUACAUGGCACAGCUUAUUCCUGAAGAGCCCACGGCCAGGUGGAACGGCAGGACCCCCACCCCAGUGCUGGUAUUUAUCAGCUCCGUUUCACCAGAGCUGGAGAGACACAGCCCGGGGAUGUGUAAAGAUGAGGAGCCUGGGGGGCCUGAAACCGUGUCCCCUGACUGGAAUGCAAUGUGUUAAGUGGAAAAAUAUUGUCAUUAUGUAUAACAGGGAGGUGACUUUGGCAAAGCUUCUGAACUGUAAAUGAAAACUGGACUAGCAGACAAAGCAAAAGGUAAAUCUGAAAUCCGCCUCCGCCAGCACUCCCGGAAGCCCCUGCGGCUCAGAUCAUGCUGAGUCCUCAGGGAGAGCAGGUGAAAGAGACAGCGGUUCUUGAACCCAGAGAGUGUUCAAUCUUGUGAAGAAGAAAGCCACAUAAAGAGAACUAGAGAGCAGUGUUUAAUCGAGAGACUCCCAGCUACUCAGGAAGCUAAGGUGGGAGGAUCGCUUGUAGGUGAAGGUAGGCCAGGUGCAGUGGCUCAAGCCUGCAUUCCCAGCACUUUGGGAGGUUGAGGUGGGAGAAUUGCUUAAGCCUGGGAGUUCGAGACCAGCCUGGGCAACAUCAUGAGACCCCUCUCUACAAAAAUAAAAUAAAAAAUGAGCCAGGCAUGAUGGUGCACACCUGUGGUCCCAGCUACUUGGGAAGCUGAAGUGGGAAGAUCCCUUGAGCCUGGGAGGUGGAGGCUGCCGUGAGCCCUAAUCACACCACUGCACUCCAACCUGGGAGACAGAGCAGGACCCUCAAAACCAAAUGGUGACUGUGCACAGGAGCAGGACACCCAGGACAGGUGUGCACAGGAGCAGGACACCCAGGACGGGUGUGCACAGGAGCAGGACACCCAGGACGGGUGUGCACAAGAGCAGGACACCCAGGACGGGUGUGCACAAGAGCAGGACACCCAGCCCUGAGCAGGAAGAGGAGGGAGGGAAUCCUAGACUGGAGGGAAUCACUGACUAAAAAGAUGACUCUGAUUUAAGUAAUAAAGUAAUAAACACUUAUCUACUGUAGAAUUAAACCAGAACCUAUUAUUAACUAAAAAUCUGCUUUUGCUAAUGGGGAUGGACAGGCCCAUUAUUAAAAGCCUAUUAUGUGCCAGACAGUGGCUUCUCCCCGUGUGUUUAACGGUUGGCUGUCAUCCUGUCUCCUACGCUUCUGAGAUCAAAAGUAAUGUUUGCAUCUCAACCAACUUUUAUUUAAGAGCCUAGAUGCAGAUGCAAGCUCUGGCCACAGGGUCAGGAAAAUCGGAGGUCCUUCCAGAGCCUUUCUCUGGGAUUUAGGAAGCAGCUGGAGGUCACAGCCCCUGCUCCAGCUGAGGCUCCUCUUAGGCGGCUGGAGCCCAGGGACCUGGGUUGAUAGAAUGUCUGGCUUUGGUUAGUGUCUCAGUGAGAAGAAACUAGAGCUAGGCUGGGCAGGAGGCGAGAGCCCUCACCCCUGCAGACAGCACUGGGCAUGGAUACAGUGAGAGAGGAUAAACAGUCCGGGAGCGCUGACCGAGCCGUCCCUCCUAAGGGAAGCCUUCCCACCUCUCGGGUGGAUCACCUGAGGUCAGGCGUUUGAGACCAGCCUGGCCAACACGGUGAAAACCUGUCUCUACAAAAAAUACAAAAAUUAGCCAGGCAUGUUGGCGGGUGCCUGUAGUCCCAGCUACUCAGGAGGCUGAGGCAGGAGAAUUGCUGGAACCCAGGAGGUGGAGGUUGCAGUGAGCCCAGAUUGUGCCAUUGCACUCCAGCCCAGUGACAACAGUGAGACUCCAUCUAAAAAAACAAAAAUAACCCACCGAAUGCCUCUUCUGUGAUCCCCUGGCUGCUCGUGGACAGGGGUGAUGUCUCAGGGAUCUCAUCAAUAGCUCCAACCCUCAGCCUUGGAGGACACAGGUUCUACACAAAAACCGCUGGCCCUGUGAUGGCUGGACGACAUUCCAGCCCACGGCACUCCCUGUUCUCCAGGAAGGAUUACUUCAGGGAUUUGUGUUUUAAAUUCCCUCAUACAGCGCCUGGUCCUCAUACAGUCUCUCCUGGAGCUAAAAGAAUCUCGGGGCGGGGUUUGGUAGCUCACGCCUAGCACUGUGGGAGGCAGAGGCACAUGGAUUGCUUGAGUCCAGGAGUUUGGGACCAGCCUGGACAAUAUGGCAAAACCCCAUCUCUACAAAAAAUACAAAAAUUAGCCAGGCGUGGUGAUGCAUGUCUAUAGUUCCAGCUAAUUGGGAGGCUGAGGUGGGAGGAUUGCUUGAGCCUGGGAGGUCAAGGCUGCAGUGAGCCAUGAUUGUACCACUGCACUCCAGGCUGGGUGACAGAACUAGACACUGUCUCCAAAAAAAAAAAAAGGCCCGGUGCAGUGGCUUAUGCCUAUGCCUGUAAUCCCAACACUUUGGGAGGCUGAGGCAGGUGGAGGAGCACUUGAACCGAGAAGUUUGAGACCAACUUGGGCAACAUGGCAAAAACCCUUCUCUACAAAAAAGAGUCAGGUAUGGUGCUGUAUACCUGUAGUCCCAGCCCUGGGGAGGCUAAGGUGGGAGGAUCACGUGAGCCCACAAGGCAGAGGUUGAAGUGAGCCAAGAUGGCACUACGGCACUCCAGACUGGGAGACAGCAAGACCCAGUCUCAAACAAACAAACAAAUCUUAGCUGAGGCCUCUUCUCCCUGAGAAAGCUUUUGUGAGGGUCAUGAAAUGCCUGUCCUUGACUUCUCCCGCCCCUCCAUGUGAAACCCACCUAGGCAAUCAGACAGGUCCCUCCCAUACAUCUGCUUUCCUCUGUGGUUGAGUCAGUCUUCCAGGAACCACGCUGUCCUCUGCUCCUUGUUUCAUCUGGGGGCUUCCCUGCAGCUCCCCGGGUCAAGACUUACCCGCAUACACACGUCAUGUACCUGUACACACACACACAGCUCUUCUCACAGGCAUCAAAAGCAAGGCCCCGCAGCGCCAGAGUCACCAGGUCCAUUUGUCACCACUGUGGAUGGCAUUUCCACUGGAAAGCCUGUGGCUCUAGCUGGAAACGUUCACUCGCCAGCCUUGUGACCUCGCCCCCUGGAAGCUCUGACUCAAGGAGUGCCUGGUCCCAACCCCUCUCUGGCUGCAGAGCCAGCAGGGAGGCUGCGUCUGGCACAGAAGGGAAGCUCCCCGCUCCAGCUUUCAGGCUCCAGGCUCUAAACAAGUGACCAGCUUGGCUAAGCCUUUCUUUUGGCCUCUUUGGCAAAGAGAAAUCCAGAUUAUGUCAACAGAGGGUAUGUGGCAACAAUCAUAAAGUUGUAGAAGGAAGAUUAGGAGAGGAUUAUGCUAAUCAGAUCAAAGAGCAUUGACUGUAGCAGCGUUUUCACCCUCUGCAAUUAUAGGGCAGUAAUUAAAUAAAAGCCAUUCAGAGUCUUAAGGGAUUCUUUCUGGGGGCCCACACUGGAGCCAGGAGUCUGAGGGGUGUGUCAGGAAGCUGGUGUUUCUUCCUUGUGUGGCCAGGGUCCCAGGAAGGCUGGAGACCGCAUCUCGGAGGACACUUGGCUCUUAGAUCCACCUCCCCUUCUGAGAGCCCACACAGUAUGACGAUGCAGCGGCUUCUCACCAGAGCGCUGGCAUCCUUCUGGGCCCAGGCUCUUUCAGGGCACCCCAAUGCUGCAUGCCAUGGCUCUCCCGCCCUUGGCUGAGGAUGACCCUGCAGGGAGCAUCUCGUGCCCUUCGCCUCAGCAGAGGACAGGGCUGAGCAGUCCAGCCUGUGGUCCCUCCCGCCCCCUCCAGCACCCCAGCUCCUCCUCCUGGUCCUCACAUGCCUCUGGCACCCAUCUGCUGGCCCGGCUACUGGUUUCUCGAUGGUUUUGCCUUGAAAUACCCCAAUAUAUAUGUUUGCCUUUUACUGAUAGAAAUUUUUUUAUUUUACUUUUUAAAUUUAUUUUAUUAAAAAAAAAGACAGGGUUUCCCCAUGUUGCCCAGGCUGGUCUUGAACUCCCAGGCUCAGGAAAUCCUCCACCUUGGCCUCCCAAGGUGUGGGGUGACAGGAGUGAGACUCACCUGGCCAGGAAUUUUCAAAUGAAUACAGAAGUAGGGAGAACAGUAUAAUAACAUCCAACAGCAUCCGUCUUUCAGGGUUAACAGUGGCCAAGGUUCUGCCAGUCUCACACGUGUCCUCAGGGUCUUUGCGCCGGCUGCCCAGUGAACCGACCCCACAUCCUGCCUCCACGGUGCCACUACCACCCGACCUGGUGAUGAAAUCACGCUGGCCCAUUGAAACAAGCUAGGCUUGAAAGGACAAACACUGCGUGACUGUAUUUCUAUGAGGUCCCUAGAGUUACCACAUUUGUAGAAAGUGGAAUGGUGCUUGCCAGGGGCUGGGGUCAGGGGAUUGGGGAGUGAGGCGAGAGCCGCUAGCGUCUGCUGCAGUGACUGAAGGGACAAGAAGGCAGGGUGUGCAGGAUUAGAAGUGGCGAGUUUGGAUCAUAUUGGCAGGCUCUGGGCGCGGGGACCGUCUGGAGUUCUGUGGUCCCGGGCCCUGGGCUGAUGGGCAGGGAACAUGGCCUCCUGGUGUAAGAGCUAAAGAGGCCUGUGGCAGCGCGGCUCUGGGUUGGUUGGUUUGUACAUGACAGGUGGGCUCCCAGUGGGCCCCGGGCCAUCUCUAAGAACUGGCCGACCCUGGGAGCACCCAUCGCUCCCCGGUCAGCAGGGCCCCAAGAUGCCAGAGUGCCAAGAAGGCAGAACAUAAGAAAACCGAGUCCUUGCAAGGCGGCGCUCCUGCGUUCUCCGUCGGCUGGCUGGGGAGUCCCCCUUCCUCUGAGCCAAGCCCAGUGAGUCACCAGGCCGGUCCCACCUCCCAGCAGGGAGGACCUAGGAAGAGGGGCUAGCGUCCCUCAGCCCAGAUGUUCUGGGGUCUCCUCUAGGCCUCACACCGCAGCAACUCAGCCUUCUCCUCGGGGAUGUGUUUCUCAGCCAAGAUGAGACCAGUUCCCUUUCCUUAAAGGACACUGUCUGUGCGGCCUGGGGGGCCUCUGAUGCCUGAAACUGAGCUAAAGGGCCGGCUGCUCCCAGGGGCUGCCUCUGAUCAUCCCCGACCCAGCUUCAGGCUGUGGGAAACGCCAGCAUGAGUGACAGCAGCAGACUCGUGGGCGCCUCCAUCCCAUUUGCUGUGAAUGCUGCUUCAUGGAAGACUGAGUCCGUUCUGAGAGCGACUGGAAGAUGGGUCAGGGAUCGGGGCAGGGAUGGGCAUGCCCUGAAAACACCCGGCUGCUGUGGGAACAAAAAUAACCCAGUGUUGCCUGGAGUCUGGGACGCGCCUAAUGGUGGCCUUCUCUCUGGAUGAGAGUGACAGGAAGGUGUGGCCAGGCAGAACACAGGGCCCACUGAGGAUGGGGCACCGCCCUGCGAGCCUGGCAAGGUGCAGAAGAGACACUGUGACGCCGAGGCUCCUUCCACAGGCUCUCAGUUUACCACCUGAUGCCGGCGUGGUGUUGAGCCCCUCAGCCUUCCCUGGAGGGUCAGUUCUGUCCUUUUUUCCUGGGUUCUCCUGGUUCCACACCAUAUUCCUAGCGCCUAAAUCCAUACCCAGGGCAGGUGCUCCAUAGAGCAAGUCUUGCUUCCCCUCUGUCCAUGAACAGGAAUAGAGGGUGCGCCGGGGACACACAAGCCCCAGGGCCAGUCGGGGUCUGGCCAAGAGCAGGCCCUGAGGAGCUCAGGACAGAGCAGUGGGAACACAGCCCUGGAGGCAUUCCUGCAGCAGGGACGGCCUGGCAGGUGGGAGCCACUUAAAGGAGUUGCCCAGAGAGCGCAGAUGUGGUGGUUGGAGCUCCAGCAGCCACCUUGGACCUUAAAGUGACUGCUGAGAAGAGAAGGCACGUGCUGAGGUGUCUGGGUUACCACUGUGAAGUUUCCACCGUGGUCCUGGACUUCCUACCUAUCAAGCAUCUUUUAUGUAAAAGAUAAAGAAAUAUCUUUCUUCUUUAAGCUGUUUUAAUUUUGGAUUCUUCUGUUAAAUGCAGGCAAAGUUAAUGCUAACUGAUAUAUCCUAGUACAGAACUUGGUCCAUACUAGGCACUUGAUAAUUACUUGAUGACUGAACGGGCGAGGUGGGGUGAAGUGGGCUUGAGGGGUGUUGAGUCCAUCCCCAUGUGUAAUGAUGAGGUGUGGGAUGAGGGCUGCCAGGACUGAGAUGAGGCUGGUCGCCAGUGUCACCCUAGGGACUUUGUCCCCUUCCAUGUGACCUAGAGCUGUGUUCACUGUACUGUAAGCAGACUCACUUUCAGAAAACUCUGAUAUUCCAAAUUUGGACUAAAAUAAAAUUAGGCUUGUUGAUGCCUUCGUGUAUCUAUUAGUCUGUUCUUACACUGCUAUAAAGAAAUACCUGAGACUGGGUAAUUUAUAAAGGAAAGAGCUUUAAUUGAUUCACAGUUCUGCAGGGCUGGAAGACCUCAGGAAACUUACAGUCAUGGUGGAAGGGGAAGAGGCACGUCUUACAUGGUGGCUGGUGAGAGAGAACAUGUGUGUAGGAGGAACCAUCAAGCACUUAUAAAACCAUCAGAUCUCGUGAGAACUCACUAUGAGAACAGCAUGGGAGAAAUCACCCCCACGAUCCAGUCACCUCCCACCAGGUCCCACCCUCAACACAUGGGGAUUAUGGGGUUUACAAUUCAAGAUGAGAUUUGGGUGGGAACACAGAGCCAAACCAUAUCAGCUUACAAAUAGAUCAUUUUCUUGAAAUUGCCAUAUCCCUCUUUGUGGACUUUUAAAUGACUUAGUUUGAUAAGAGUUCACCCCUGGAGAGAUGGGUAUGCUGUUUCAGCUGCAGGUACAUGAUGAACUUCAGACUGGGAUUUUGGGCACCUAUGUCUAGCUUGGAAGUAGGCUGUGAAGGACGGGUUCCUUAGCAAUCUGGUGACUCCUGUUGGAUGCCGUAUCUGACUGCAUGCAUGGUGUACUCAGUCCAAUACACGACGUAUUCAUUAUACUUCUAUGUCAGGCUGGCCCUGAAAAUGGGGUGAAGACCUACAGGACAUGGCUCACAGCAGCUUGCAGUUUAGUUGGGGGGUAAAGAACACCUGGCUAAAGAGAAGGCCCCAGCAAUAGCUGUUGAUAUGACAUGCUCUGGGGCUCGGUGAGAUUGGGAUGACAUCUCUGCUGGGCCCCGUGGGUAAGGCUGGGUGGGUAGACACCUGAGAGGGGAGCAGUCAAAGAAAAGUCCAGAAAGAGUAGAGAAGGCCAGGCUCUAGACACCCUUGAUUGCCAGACUGGAGAAGGGGUCUGGGCAGGGACGGAGUGUCAUGAGACUGUGAUGUGGGAGAGCUACAGGCUUUGCCACAUGUGGGCUGAGGGCAGCCUGUCCUAUGAGCAGAUGUCUUCCAGGGAUUCUGUGGCACUCUUCCUCCACUGCCCCUGAGAGAGGGACUCAUGGAGGUGGCCCUCCCUAUACCUCCUGCCGUUUGGCGAUGGCAGCCCCAUCCCCAUGAGCUGGUGUGACUCCAGCCCAGGCCACAUGUGAGGUGCUGCCUCUUCUGCCUUGAGAGACAGAGGUGAGGGGCAAGACGCUGUGCAGCAGCCAGGCCAGGACCGGGGGCUACAGGGACUCUGUCAUUUAGGGAUGCAGAGGAAGACCAUUUGGGAAAGGGAGGCUGAGGCCAGAAUGUGGCAUAUAGCUGGGGCCGUGAGUGCUGGCCUAGGUGGGAUGUCACCGUCAGCCACUGAUGAUGCGGCCAUAUGUCAUGGCUUCUACGUCUUUACCUUUGAGAACUCUGUUAAGGCAGGUAAAGUAGGUAGUAGAGGUGGUGCUCCCAUCUUACAGAUGGGGAAACUGAGGCCCAGAAAGACCAAGAGAUGUGUCAGUGACACCUGGCAGCAGCAGAUGGGCAGAAGAGGAGGAGCCCCUCAGCCCACCUCCCAGCGGUGGUGCCCACGGGUGAUGCUCACUCUUCCCCAUGGGGUUCCCUGUGAAUGAGGACCCAUGAGGUGGCCCCUCUCCCGCAGCAGCAUAAAAACAUCCCCACUUCUACCACGCUCCUCACCCACAUUCUGGUUGCUGCCCUGGGCCAGCCUGCAUCUCCCAGGGGAUACAGGGCCUUAAGGCCCCUCUGCCCUCCCUGCUUCUCACUCCUGGGUGGCCUGGCGUGGUCAGCCCUGGUUUUGAUCACAGAAUAGCUAAGGCUGAUGGAAAGGGAGUGGCUGCAGUCAGGUGUGACCUCUGAGCAGCUGUGGCCAGUGACCCCGAGGAGGGAUGUGCAGUUGGCAGCACAGAAAGAGGAGCAAACUCUUGUGUCUCCCAUGGGCACCCAUGGGCCAGGCAUCCCCAAGGUGUGCCAGCCUGGAGAGUGGUCAGCUGCAGCUUCUGAGCUCUUCCAGAGUCCCUGCCCGGGGAACCCCAGCUCUGGUCUCCUGCUGCCUCAGCCUGCCUUCCUCCACUGAAGGACUCCCGUGGCUGUUGGUGGCUUGCCUGGGGUCCUCCCCAUCCCAAUGGUUGGGUGCUUCUGCCCCUGCACUCAUUACAGCCUGGAGUGGCGGGGAGUCCUGCCUCCUCCUGGAGGUCCCAGUCCCCACAGGCAGGUCUGCCUUAAAACCCAACAGCACCAAAUGCCUUUGGCCAUCACCUUUCCUUUUUAUUUUUUGAGAUGGAGUUUUAUUCUUGUUGCCCAGGCUGGAAUGCAAUGAGGGCACACUGCAACAUCCACCUCCUGGGUUCAAGCGAUUCUCCUACCUCAGCUUCCCAAAUAGCUGGGAUUACAGGCACAUGCCACCAUGCCCAGCAAAUUUUGUAUUUUUAGUAGAGAUGGCAUUUCACCAUGUUGUUCAGGCUGGUCUUGAACUCCUGACCUCAGGUGAUCCACCCGCCUUGGCCUCCCAAAGUGCUGGAAUUACAGGCCACAGCGCCCAGCCAGUGAUACUUGACUAACAGUGCCAUGCUAAGUUCUAAAAAUGUUUAGGGCAAAGUUUGCUAAAGUAUAAACAUGCAGAGAAGAGCACAGAUCAUAGAUGAUGAAUUUGCGCAAACUGAACACACUCGUGUUGCCAGCACCCCGGAAGCUCCCCACACUGUCUCCCAGCUACUUUCCCUCAAGAUUGGCAUUGGCUGGUUUUGAAUUUUAUUUAUCUGGCUUGUUUCACUUGCUCAUUGUGAGGCGCAGCUAUGUCUGUGUGCAGCACUCAAGCUCAUCAGCUCCAUUCGCUGCAGAAACCUCCACUGUCGGUACCGACCCUGACCCCUGCAUCCAUCCAGUUGAUGGGCAUCAUGGUUUCCAGGGGGCUCUGACGCGGUGCUGUCAUGCGCACAUUUGUGCACUGGUGUGCCUUUCUGUUUGACUCCUACUAAGAUCGCGGGUAGGGUACACACGCAUGCACCCAUAGUAAAUAAUGUGGCAUCAGCUGUGUGUGUCCUGCCUCCCUGGUGAUUCUGUAAGAAGUGUGGUGUCUUCACUUCCCCAGGCUCUCUGACCUGGUGCCCCGCACGCCAGCCCUCUUCUGCCACCAUCCGUCUCUGCACACAUGCAGUUGAGGCUCAGCAUGCAUCCCUGCUGAAGCCCUCGGCCCUCUGAUGGGCAGUGCCCAGUGCCCCAUAUCCUUAGCUGCUUCCACACCAGCAGGGCUCAGUCGCUGCCUGUGAAGGACUCACCAUGCAGACAGCAGGUGGCCCCCAGUGGAGAGGGAGCUCAGUCUCUAAGGCCACAAGCUUCCUUGGCCUCAGCCUUGGGAUUUAUUCAUGACUGGGAACUGUAGCAGGACCUGGUUUGUAACCACCAGCUGUCGCUAUAGCAACUCCUUCAACCAGCCUCUGCACUAAAAAUAAAUCACCUUCAUCCCUAGGAUAGAAAAAUCAAAGAAAAUCAAAGUAGGGGAGGGGGGGUGCCCACCCUGCUCAGCCGCCAGGAUUUCCAGGUACACGGACGUAACCCCUUCCGGCCACCACCUCCCGCCAGUGGCAGGAAGGGCACAGGCGGGGUGCAGGAAGGGCACAGGCGGGGUGCGGGAAGGGCACAGGUGGGGUGCAGGAAGGGCACAGGUGGGGUACAGACCAGGCCCUGAGAGCUCUGGGUGCCCGAGCACUGAGGGCUUCCCCACACUUCAAGACUUAUCUGUCUUCUCCUGUCUAAUAUGAACCAUAGAAUUUAAUACAAAUUAUAAAUAGUUGUAUUCUUGCCUAGGUUUCAUUCAUUUUCUAGAUAUUAGCUUUUCUAUGGAAUGGUCAAUUGCCACCACACCCAGUCUGCUUUUUGUUUUUGUUUUUACUGUGUUGAAUAUCCAUAGCACAAAAUUUACCAUCAUACCCAUCUCUAAGUACACAGCUCAGCGGCGUUAAGUCCACUGCCAUGGCUGUGUGGCCGUCUGUCCGUUUCCAGAACUCUCUUCAUCCUGCAGCACGUAAAUGCUGCCCCAUCACCCCUAACUCCCCAUGCUCCUCCCCAGUCCCUGGAGGCCAUGCUUCUGCUUCCUGUGUCUAUGAAUUUGGUGACUCCAGGGACCUCAUGUCAGCAGAAUUGAACAGCAUUUGUCUGUUUGUGUCUGGCCUGUUUCCCUCAAGCAUCGUGCUGCAUGGAUGUCCUUCAUGUGUGUUGUGACAGGUGGCAGAAUCUCCCUCCUUUUUUAAGGCUAAUACUCUGCUGUGCAUGGGGACCACAUUUUCUUCAUCUGUCGAUGGGCACGUGGAUUGCUUCCCGCCCACUGUUGGUAUCAUCACACACCGUAGGGAGAUCUCCUCUCUCCGGGGAGAUCGCAGGCCCUUUGAGGCAGGGUGGACCUCGCUCCUGCCGGCCUGUGGAGGGGCGGGAGUACUCCCAUCAGGCGCAGUGAGGGGCGUCGAUGCGCCCAUGGGCCAGGGUUGGGAGGCAUCCCCUGGAUCACAGCCAUGGUGGCAGCCCCCUUGGGCACUGAGGAGGAGCUGGGAUGCAGUGAGCAGCCCUGCCGCAUCCCAGGUCCCCAUGGGCAGAGUUUCUAAAGGUAGAAGUCCAGGCUCAGGGGUGCUUUCUGGUCCCAGUGCCACCCUCUGUUCUACUGUCGUUCAGCACUCGGGGCCAAACAGGACGGAGCCCGGCGCGGAGAUGGCAUGUGGGGUGGGCAGGCAGCCGCUCUGGCUAGGGAGUAUAAAGCUCCGGAAUCCAGCACAGCCUGGACAGGGGCCGAGAGCACAGGGUCCUUUGAAAAGAGGGAAGCAAGGGUGCUCAAGAAGCCGGGGGAGGCCCUGGAGGGAGGCCCUAGGAGGGAGGCCCUAGGAGGGAGGCCCUGGGAGGGAGGCCCUGCGAGGGAGGCCACGGCACCUGGAGACAAGCGAGCCGGCAGCAGCUCCACCCUCCAAGCGCCCGUGCAGGUGUGCCCUUCCCAGGGUUCCGAGCAGCAUGGCCCCUGGGAGCCUCCCUGCCUUGGGAAGUCACCAGUCACCCCCUUCCUCAGGAGGGGAGAAUGGGAGCAGGUGCAACAUCUGGGGGACAGUGGUGCAGACAGACUCACCAUGGAGAUGCCCAUCCCUGGCCUUGGUGAGAGGAUUACAAAGGGGCUGGGGGCUGGAAGGGCCCUGCAGUCUGUCUGGCUGUGUCUGUGACAGGGCCUUGUGUGCAAAGUGACCCCCAAAUGCAGAAAGAGGCCAGAAACCAAAGAACUGGGCAGACAAAUCCAGUAUGUUGUUGUAGGGUGAUUUUAUCGGGGAACUUAUGGGCAGAAGUGUGGUCUUGGGCAACCACAAGACAGGUAGGUCCCCCCCAGCACCCCCAUCACAGGGCUUCUGUGCCACAGGGCAAGGGUAUGGGGCUUCAGAGGAAAGGUGUAGGUGUACACCUAGGGCAGGCGCUACCUCGGAGUUGAUCAAGGUUGAUUUGCCCUAAGCAGGGGUGGCAAGUACACAGGAACAGUAGAUUAGCUGGAACCGGGUUGAUCAGAAGCCAAGGUGGAGGAUUCCCUGCCAAGACGGAGCUGCUUCAGACUCCACAGGUUGGUUGGCUGAAACAUGGACCCAGGGGUGUCCCAUGCUGAAUGGGGCUGAAACACCAGAACCGCCUGGGUCUGCUGCAGAGGGAGGCACCACAGUGCAGGGAGACUGGAGAGAAUUAGCCAUUUAAGACCGACUCACCACCUCUCACACACCUUUCACCAAGACUGUGGUGAGGGAGCCCAGUGCCCUUGAAGAGCUCCGUGCAGGUUGGAAAUCACAGGGGGCUGCUGCCACUGACCGGGGACCCUAAAUGGAUUGGGAGUGUCUGGUCCCAGGGUGGAAGGGGCUAAGUAGAAACAGUCACCAAAGGCAAGGCAGGUGCAGCCUGUCAGCGGAAGCAGAGACCAGGCAGCCACCAGGACAGCCCGACUCAAGGAGACCUGGGGCACGGGCAGGUGCACCACCAUGUUCUUAGAAGUGAAAUAGAUAAUAAACCUAUGACAUUCUAACUUGAUCUGUAUAAGCAGAAGAGUAGCCGAGUGAACACAAGUCUAGCCUGAAUGAGUCGUGGUCCUUCAAUCAGUUCUUAGGCUUGAGCCAGUUUCCAGACCCAGAACCCGGUGAGUGAAAGGGAGGCUAGGUCCCCUUGAAGAAGGACCCUACUACACCACCAAAAGUUCAUACUGUUAACUUCUCUCCCAUUCUCCCCCAAAGGGACGUAUGGCUUUUACCAGGGCGACUGGGCAUUAGGGAAGGGGUAUUGGAGAUGCCAGAACACCGAUUCUACACUGGCACUUGGCCCAGGAGAUGCACAGCGUCACCGUGGUCCACCCAUCAGAGCGGGGGCUGUGGACACAGAAAGAGACGGUGAUCAGCACAGAAUUUCUCCAGCUCUCCCUCAGUGGAGGGGAGGAGUGGGCAGGCUGCGGGGGUUGCCUUUCCUUUUUGCAGCCUUCUGUUUUCCACUUUUUGGGAGGCAGAGACCUAAGAAAAGAGCAGCCAAGGAUGUGUCUGUGGGGCUGAGGUGCUCAGAAGCGGGGAACAGCUCGGGGAUUAAAAGGGCUCUGGGGCAGGGAGGAAUGUCCUUUCAUUGGGACCCGCUGGGCCUGGGCCUAUCUAAUCAGUUUCACUGUGUGUCAGUAGUACAUCCAUAAUAAGAAGUGCCUGUGACAGCCCGGGACUGGGAAUGGGUGUUGAGCUGUUGGCUGACUGCGGGGAGGUGGCGGUGUGCUCUCUCGGCUUCCCUUGCACACGAACCAAACACGGGGCUGCGUCUCCACAUGUCCCCAUGGAGUCUCAUGGCAUUUCUGGGGAAUAGACAGGAUUCUAUCCCCACCACUCACCUGCUGAAGUCUAGCAUUCCUUUAUCAAAGCCAAGCCCUUUCCUCCAUGAGAGAUACCCCAGGGGAGGGAGCUGGGCUAACUGAUGAGAGUACUUUCACUGGAAGAAUUUUGGUGCCAAGAAGAGAGGAAAGGAUGCCAAUGGCAAGACAUCCUUGGCUGAAAGAUGGCUUCUCUGACCCAUCCGAAUGUUUGUAAAUUUAUGUGCCCUUUUCCUGAGGCGAGGUUGGCAGGCACCGCCACGUCAAGCAGGUAACAGACUAACGCUCCCCUGAACAUAGCUCGUCAGGAGGACGGGUGCUGGGAAAACCAGACUGCAAUGGACUGAAACCCUUUAUGAGACAGCAGAGUCAUGGUCACGUCUGAGUCUACACCUGUGUUGUAAAGAGUAUCUCUGGGGACAAGUGAGAGAGCCAACUAAUGAGAAAUACGGGGACGGGCUCGCUGUGCUGUGGGCACUAGGCCUCCCAUAGGAGCUGCGCCGGGGGGUUCUACAGCAUCCAUCAUAUUCACGUGCAGGAAACAAUGGCCAGCUCACCCACAAGAAGGAAUGCCACAGCCACGCUUGAGGAAUUCUGCAAGGUGAUUGCAUGGGAAGGAGUAUCAGGGAGGGCUUCAUGGAGGAGAAGGCCUUGAACUGGGCCUUGAGGGAGUAGCAGGGUUGGGAUAGGCAGGUGAGGGGAAAGAAUCUAGGACAAGGAGUAUGUGUAGUGUCUGUACAGUCUCAUGGGAACUAAGGAACAUGGGUUGGAGAGGAAUGGUAAGGCCAGACAACAUCUAUGAAAGCAAACAUGAUAAACAUGGUUGACACGCUUGAUGGGACAUUGGCCUGACACUGUGAAUGCCUGAGGCCGAAACAUCUGCCUGCCCCAGACAAACUAAAUCUUGACUCGGAUUUUAGAGGAACCUGCCCUGCUGUUCCCUGGCCAACAGGGUCGAACGUCUUCGACUGUCCCAGAGGGUCCUAGCGCAUGUCCCCUGCUGUCACAGGGGCAGACCUGGGGGGGAUCAUGAGGUGUCCAUGGGGCAGAGGGGUGGCACGCCUCCUGCGGGAGGUGGCUGGUGAUUCUGGGUUCUGCAUGAGGGGCCUUGGAGGGAGGAAGUGCUCUGGGAGCCAGGCCCUCAGGCACCUGAGCUGGGCCCCUCAGUGCUGUGCUGGCCUCAGCCCUGGCCCCGGCCCUGUCUUCAUCCCUUGCCUGCUGGCAUUGAAGCUCCAGUCGUAGAUGGAAGGCAGCUCCAGAAUGCCGGAGGAGACAGCAGAGCAAGUAGGAAGGGGCAGCUUUGAGAUGCAGAGAGGGGAGAGGGCCCCUGCUUCAGAAUGCUGGGUGGGUGGCCGCAGGGCUGGGACUACCCCAGAAAAGCCUGAGUGUGGGGUGGCUGCAGGGUUCUGGCUCCUGUGCCCAGGUAGGUGGCCGCGCCGCCCCAUCCAGCCCUCGGACAUCCUGUAUCCUUCUGUCCCCUCUGCCCCCUCGGUCCCCUCCAUCUCUCUUCAUUCCCUCCAACCCUCUCUGUCCUUCAUUCUCUUCCAUUCCCUCCAUCCCCUCUGCCCGCUCCAUCUCCUGUUCCCUCCACCCUUAUUGUCCCCCUCCAUCUCCCACCAAUCCCCUACCACCCUCUGUCCCCAUCCGUCCCCUCUGGUCCCUCCUUCCCCUUCUGUCCCCUCUAUCCCCUCCAAACCCUCCACUGUGCUCUGUCAUCUCAAUCCCCUGUCCCCCUCCAUCCUCUUCAAACCCUCUGCCCCCUUCAUCCCCCUCUAUUCCCUCCAUUCUCUGUCCUCCUUCAUCCUCUUCUGACCCCUCUGCCAUCUCUGCUCAUCCGGACAGGCUCUGGAGUCCUGCAUGCUUUUUCUAGAGCUUGAAAGCGCUUUGUUUUCAAAACAGCGGCUGCCAGUGCUUGACUUCAGGGUGUCAAGGUCUGUUCUGAGUUAUCUAUUUUAAGAAAAUUGUUUUCCACAAAUAGCAGUAAGAACGAAGUCUGUGUCACACCCAGAGAGAUUUAAUUGCCUAUAGACGGACCUCCUGAGCUAGCAGCCUCCAGCCCUCCUGGAAAGGGCCAUGGUCUAGCCGUGCGAGGUGGACUCUCCUGUCUAGGGUGUUUUGGGGCUGGAAGGAACAGAAACUCAAACACGAACUGGUUAAACAACAAAUCUUCUCCCAGAGCAGCAAACCCACGUUCUUUCUCUGUGUGUCCGUCUGGGCAUCCACUGCCUUUCCUCACGGUCACGAGCAGCUGUCUACAGCCACUGGAGCAGUUUGAGGGUUUAUGAGCUCAGAGGAGGGAAAGAAGAAAGGACACUUCCCCCCACCAUGGAAUGCGAGUCCUUCCCUGAUUCUGAGUGGACCAUCUCGGAAGCGCUCGCCCCGGGCCCAGUGCUAAUGGCCAGGGCUGUUCUCACCCCGACCUUUUGGAAGAAGCACAUCCCCUGGGGGCCCUGGGGGUGCUCGAAGACCCAGAGGAGCCCAGGGCUGGCCAGAGCUGUCCCUGGGCUGGGACAGAGCAAGUACAGCCAGUCGGGAGAGUUCCAUGGGAAGGUGUAGACUGAGUGUGGGGCCCCAGUGAAAUACCGGGACCACCUCAGCAGACAUGGGGGCCAGGGAAGGUGUUACGUGGAGCCCCGCUUACAGGCUGCCUGUAAACUCAGGGGGCGGGGCAGGCUUCAGUUUCUUGUUGGGAUCAGAUCAGGGCGCUAGGCCCACAUAGGCUCCUGGAAGCCAAUGGGAAUGACAGUGCCCAUCGCAAGACAGUGGUGCUGUGGGUGGGACCCAGGUAGGCAGCAGAGCCUCGAUGUGCUGAGUGUAGGUCCCUUGAGCGGCAGGUCCCAGGACGGGACUCAACACACACCAGACUCAUUGGGUGAGCAGCCUGGGAAGGAGGAGGGAAGGAGGCAGAAGACAGGGGGCAUCCUCUCUCUGACCCCUGCGGCCAUGGUGGCUAGGAAGAUCAGGCGGUGAGAGUCUCAGGGUGGCCCAGCACCUGGCACUUAGGCAUUGGCUGGGAGCAGCCCUGGGCGAAGGCUAGAGGUACUGGGGGUUUGGGGUGUGUUGGGCGCAUGGUCUCUGUGUGAAGAGGGAAGUGAAAGUUGUAGCCCAGCUCCCCCAGCAGGAGGCCUGAUUGGUGGGUUUCUGUGACCACCUCCUUUAUAAAGUCCCACUUGCCCGAAAACUUGUAUAAGUUGGGCCAGGGCUGAGUGUGCUGGGGCCGGGAAUCACGUUGCAGAGGCCAGGAGGCAGGACCCCUCUCCCCUCUGCCAUGGGGCUUUCUGUCUGGACCUCCACUGCUGAGCUGAUUGCAAAAUACGUCUCAUCUCCCAGAGCAACGCUCAGGAACAGGGUGGCACGUGUCUCCUUCAGUCCCAUCCGUUUCCCUGAUUUGGGACCUUGUGCUUAUCAGGGGCUUGAUGAAUGUUUGUGGAUGGGUUGGGAAGCUGAGCACGCAGAGAACAGGAAUAUCCACGUCUGGGAAACCGCUUGGCAAGAUGUAGCCUGGCGCCUCAGGAACACAGGGAAACAGGCAGCCCUUAGGUCUCAUAGGCCAAUGCCAAAGAGAGAGAUGAAGCCAGCUCUUGAAGAGAAGGGGCAUGGGAGGUGGGCAGACCUGCCUUCUGAUGUGGUGGAUAAGAACGAGAGAAUGCCAUUUGAAAAUUCUGAGCAGUCAGCUUUGGACGCCGUGGAAGGGGUCCCUCUAGCCGGGUGUUCUCAGCUGCUGGCUCAGAUUCAUUCUGGCUAGUUGUAGUGGAGCCCAAAAAAUGUAUUAAAAGUGCUGAGUAGCUCACAAAGUCCCCAGGAUGCAAAACCAGGCUGGGUGGUUUCUGAGAGGAGCCCAAAGUGACUUCCAGAGUGGAAACACAGAGGCCACAUGGCACUGGGCACAGCCACCAUGAUGUGCCUGCAGCUGGAGGACUUGUGCUGUGCCAUGGAUGAGAUUGUGUCCCCCAAACUCACACGUGGAAGCUCUGACCCUCGAGGUCGCUUAUUCGGAGACAGGGCUUUGAGGAGGGAAUUAAGGGUAAAUGAAGUCGUAAGGGUGGGGCUGCCAUCUGAUAGGACUUCGGCCUUACAGGAGAAGGGAGAGAUCUAACCCCUCCACCCACCGCCAUGGGAAGGUGGCCGUCUGCAAGCUGGGAAGAGAGUCCUCACCAGAAGCCAACUGUGCCGGCACCCUGACCUUGGGCUUUCCAGCCCCCAGAACCAUCAGAAAAUCAACUUCAGUUAUGCAGGCCACCCCAUGUGUGUUCUGUUCUGCCAGCCCAAGUUGGCUAAGACAGUGCCUACCCUGGAAGCCAGGACCUCCUGCCUGGCAGCUGCUUCCAUGCAGCAGAAGCUGAGUCUGGCCCAGGACCACCCUUACAUCGGAGCCCCUCCCCCCAACUCCCAAGCCCAGGCAUAGUGAAGGUGUAAAAAGACAGUGCAUGGGCAAAAAGAAUGACAAGCUCCCACCCACACAGGGACAGUGAAUUUGAGGCAGGUCCCCAGCAAGGUCAAAGCCAGCUACUGAGAGACCUUUCCCAUGAGGGGAUGCUUCCCUGGUGGGCUACCAAGGCUCAGGAUGGCUCAUCAGCUUUAUAGGCUCCAAAACCCCACUCUUUCAGCACACCAGGACCAGAUUUAUUACCUGGUUCACAGGAACUUAGCCAGAUCCCGUUUUUUCAUCCCAGUUGGCACGGAUAGUGGGCAAAUAUGUGGGUGGGUGUGGCUACCCACACAUGCCAAGGCCUCCCCACCUUGUUGGCAGGGCCACAGGGAGCCAGACUAGAGCUGCUGAGUGGUCACGGUACCAGCAGAGGGUCUGGGGCCGGGCAGCCCUUCUCUUGAAGGCCGGCUGCAGCCUCCUGUUUUGUGCCCUUGGGUUACCACCCUGCUACCAUUCUCUUCACCUGGAGUUUCUCCAAAAAGUUCCUGCAUAUGAAAUUCAAGUCAAAUAUUAUUCCUGCCUUCCUGCAGAUGACCUCAUCACCCUGAGUGCAGGUACAGGUGUUCCCAGUUCCUUAACCAUGUCAUCACAGGCUCUGGGGUAACUCUUGUCAAUGACUGAUGGCAUCCACUUUUUAUGCGAUUGUACAGCCUUAAUGAAGGCAAUCUCUUUCCUUCUUUUUUUUUUUUUUUUGACAUGGGGUCUUGCUCUGUCUCCAGGCUGGAGUGCAAUGGCAUGAU